rnacentral:tRNA from 1 species
GAGAGCGUAGUUUAACUGGAUAAAAUAUCGGUCUACGAAACCGAAGAGGUGGGGGUUCAAGUCCCUCCGCUCUCGUCA